UUAUUGUUCUGGUACCGGGACCUUCGUGAUCAGGAAGGCGGAGACCCCAGGAGGAGGCCCUUCCAUUGCACUUUGGAAGGGCUGAGACCUGCCACUCUCCCAAACUGGGAAAGAUGGGGCAUGUAAUUUUUGGUAGUAAGGGUUGCGCGAACGCAGACCCUUA
rnacentral:snRNA from 1 species